CGCGGCCUAUCAGCUUGUUGGUGGGGUAGUGGCUUACCAAGGCUUUGACGGGUAGCCGGCCUGAGAGGGUGACCGGCCACAUUGGGACUGAGAUACGGCCCAGACUCCUACGGGAGGCAGCAGUGGGGAAUAUUGCACAAUGGGCGGAAGCCUGAUGCAGCAACGCCGCGUGCGGGAUGACGGCCUUCGGGUUGAAAACCGCUUUCGCCUGUGACGAAGCGUGAGUGACGGUAAUGGGUAAAGAAGCACCGGCUAACUACGUGCCAGCAGCCGCGGUGAUACGUAGGGUGCGAGCGUUGUCCGGAUUUAUUGGGCGUAAAGGGCUCGUAGGUGGUUGAUCGCAUCGGAGGUGUAAUCUUGGGGCUUAACCCUGAGCGUGCUUUCGAUACGGGUUGACUUGAGGAAGGUAGGGGAGAAUGGAAUUCCUGGUGGAGCGGUGGAAUGCGCAGAUAUCAGGAGGAACACCAGUGGCGAAGGCGGUUCUCUGGGCCUUUCCUGACGCUGAGGAGCGAAAGCGUGGGGAGCGAACAGGCUUAGAUACCCUGGUAGUCCACGCUGUAAACGGUGGGUACUAGGUGUGGGGUCCAUUCCACGGGUUCCGUGCCGUAGCUAACGCUUUAAGUACCCCGCCUGGGGAGUACGG
rnacentral:rRNA from 1 species